UGUUGUUGAGGAAGAUAAUGACGGUACUCAACAAGGAAGUGACGGCUAACUACGUGCCAGCAGCCGCGGUAAAACGUAGGUCACAAGCGUUGUCCGGAAUUACUGGGUGUAAAGGGAGCGCAGGCGGGAAGACAAGUUGGAAGUGAAAUCCAUGGGCUCAACCCAUGAACUGCUUUCAAAACUGUUUUUCUUGAGUAGUGCAGAGGUAGGCGGAAUUCCCGGUGUAGCGGUGGAAUGCGUAGAUAUCGGGAGGAACACCAGUGGCGAAGGCGGCCUACUGGGCACCAACUGACGCUGAGGCUCGAAAGUGUGGGUAGCAAACAGGAUUAGAUACCCUGGUAGUCCACACYGUAAACGAUGAUUACUAGGUGUUGGAGGAUUGACCCCUUCAGUGCCGCAGUUAACACAAUAAGUAAUCCACCUGGGGAGUACGACCGCAAGGUUGAAACUCAAAGGAAUUGACGGGGGCCCGCACAAGCAGUGGAGUAUGUGGUUUAAUUCGACGCAACGCGAAGAACCUUACCAAGUCUUGACAUCCYKYGACGAUGCUGGAAACAGUAUUUUYCUUCGGAACMCMGAGACAGKUGGUGCAUGGUUGUCGUCAGCUCGUGUCGUGAGAUGUUGGGUUAAGUCCCGCAACGAGCGCAACCCUUAUGGUCAGUUACUACGCAAGAGGACUCUGGCCRGACUGCCGUUGACAAA
rnacentral:rRNA from 1 species